AUUCAUUUUCUAAUAAAACGUUGGCGUACAUUCUACCAUCUGAUUCAGAAGAAAUAAUUGAAUCAAGAAUUAGUUUUCUAACUUUCCUUCUGUUCCUAUACCUAUUCCUACAUUUUUGAACUUUUUUAUCAACUAAACUUUGUUUUGUUCCCAUUAUUCUAGCACGCGCUUUUUCAUAAGUCAUUUUUCUAUCGUGAAGAGACUUCAGAUCAUAAGUGUGGACUGGGUGACUAGAAAUUUCCGGAGGUACUUCACGCUUGAGAAUCUUGGUUGGAUUGGACUCUACCUUACUGUCUUUUUCUUCUAACAAUUGGGAAUUUUCUCCUUGGUCUUGUUGAGAGCAGGAGUUAUCAGAGAAACUUUUCAUAAAUUGUUAAAGAGAUGAGGGUGACUAAACUAUAAAAGGACUGAAGACUGAAGAAUGAGAAGACGCCGUAGUCCUCUGAGCCAAGAUAAAAAAAUUAAAUAAACUAGUGGACAACAACAGACAACUUUUCAUCUGAGAAGACUCUAAGAAAAUUAAAAUAAAAGGAUCUACUGAGAAUCAGCUGAAAGGACUUUCGAGAACGCUCCCGCAUUACGAGUCUUCUUCCAACCUACCUCUCCAAGCAAGGGCUAAAUUGUUCGGCUUUGUGAAUACCUUAAUAGAUUUUUCACAGACUCAAACUGUUAAGCCUUUCUUGUAUUUUAAAUGCUUUUGGUGUGAAUUACCAUGUGGCAACGCGAUACCGAAACCAUACCAUCAGUCAUCGGGACUCACAGGCAGACAUCACCAAAUAUUAUAAAAAUUAAGCAAAGUUAAAAAAACUAAAAAAAUCAAAAAAUAAAAAAAUUUAAAUUUAAACUAAACUGCAAUCAAAUCUUGAAGUGGCUCAAAAAAAUCUUGGCCUCACUAUUUCGCAAUAGUGGGCAACAAUCACGUUGGGCGCCAUUUUGUAACAGGUUUGUUUGGGUACCGAAGAUCUUUGCUGGUAUGCUGGUCGCUACUGUAGCUCGUCGGUGGGUGUGGUUCUUUGAUCUUCAACCUUAUUACAAAAAAAUAAAUAUCAUACCAGUCUAAUGUAUCUUUAGAUGUUGAAGAUACGCGAGACAAUUUUCUCACCCUCCCUUCCAUAGUCGCCGUACUCGCCUAGACGACCCUUAAAAUUGGCAUCUUCUUAUCUUCAGUACUUCCUCCUACUUACUUUGUCCCCCCCAUCUCUUUAUGUUAAAACUUACUCCAUCUUCAUUCUUUUAACUUUUCAGAUUUCAUUUAAAGAAAAAUAAAUAGUUUUGCAUUUCAUUAAGAUCAUCAUUUUAUUCUAAGUUUAUCAUUAUCAAAAUUAUUUAAUAUUAAUGCAAAUUUCAAUAAUUUUAGUUAUAUUUUAUUUGUAUGCAAUGUUAUCGAAAUUAAAGACAAAUAAUUUUAUGAUACUAAAUCGAAUUCAGUAAAUACGUUUUUAGAUUUGGUUCAAAGAAAUAGUUAUUAGCGAUUAUAACGUCUUCGUAUUUAUUAUAAAUUUUAGAUUUUUAUUCUUAUUUUAGUUUUAUGUUAAUUCAAUUAAUUAAUCAUUAAUCCCCUACCCCAAAACCCUUUUGAAUAGCGUUAUUAUUUUAAGAUAGAUAUAAGUAUAUAAUUUAAUAUAAGUUUUAUUUUUAAUAUAUGUAUUUUUUUUAUCAAACUCACCCUUUUAUAUCCUGAUGAAGUGAUCACUGCAGCAGAAGUUGACGUGAGGACUUUUGGUAUUUUUAGUUCUUAUUUCCACAAUAUAUUAAUAUGUAUAUACUUAAAAUUGUUCUUUAAAACACUAUUCAAAUGUAUAUAUAUCUUUAGA